rnacentral:lncRNA from 1 species
GUGCGCAGGGGAAGCCUGGUUACCCCACCCUAAUCUUAUUAUGGAAAUAGACUUUCUAGUUGAUCAACACCAUCUUGUCUGCUCCUUACAGUACACGUGGCUGACAAAGGGAAGGGAAGAUGGAGCCUCCAAUUUGAACAUGUGUACUCCGAAGUUCCUCCCUGCGUUCACUCGUGCAAGCUCCCAGCUUGCUUGUCUGUGUCUGCAGCUCGGCUUUACAGAAUGCUCUUUGUUAGAAAAUGAUUUGGGGCUGCUUUUCAUGAAAAAGAAAAGCCUUACUGAGGAUUCCCAUACUCCUACUAUCUGCCUAAGUGAUUUCUUCUAAACUCCUGUAUCAGUGAAGUGCAAAGCUAGUGAAAGCCUUUUGUUCUGCAGUGACUUCACUUGAGGGCCACUAAUUCAUUCUGCAACAGAGCUGGGAAAUCUUGGCAUUCUUACCACUUGCAGUAUUUCUGGAAGCCAGCCUGGAUCUGGAGUAGAUCCUGAGAGACCACCGCAGAGUCCUCAAGCCU